UACAGAGGGGGCAAGCGUUAUUCGGAAUUAUUGGGCGUAAAGGGCGCGUAGGCGGCUUGGCAAGUGGAUGGUGAAAUCCCUCGAGCUUAACCGAGGAACUGCCGUCCAAACUGCUUUGCUUGAGACCGGGAGAGGUGAGUGGAAUUCCCAGUGUAGCGGUGAAAUGCGUAGAUAUUGGGAGGAACACCAGUGGCGAAGGCGGCUCACUGGACCGGUACUGACGCUGAGGCGCGAAAGCGUGGGGAGCAAACGGGG
rnacentral:rRNA from 1 species